AGUGCUGUAGCUCAGAGGUAGAACACCUGCUUUGUAUGCAGAUAGUCCCAGGUUCAAUUCUCAGUGGCAUCU